UACGUAGGGCGCAAGCGUUGUCCGGAAUUAUUGGGCGUAAAGAGCUCGUAGGCGGCUUGUCACGUCGAUUGUGAAAGCCCGAGGCUUAACCUCGGGUCUGCAGUCGAUACGGGCUAGCUAGAGUGUGGUAGGGGAGAUCGGGAUUCCUGGUGUAGCGGUGAAAUGCGCAGAUAUCAGGAGGAACACCGGUGGCGAAGGCGGAUCUCUGGGCCAUUACUGACGCUGAGGAGCGAAAGCGUGGGGAGCGAACAGG
rnacentral:rRNA from 1 species